UUCACUGAUUCACCAUGGCAUCUCGUGCAGCGUACUUCUCCCCGCUGGAGCAGGAGAUAAUUAUGGAGGCGUAUGAAGAGGUCAAAGACCAAAUAAAAAAAAAGGAAACACCGCCACUGCAAUAAAACAACGACAGAAAGCGUGGCAAAGUAUUGCAGAUCGCCUGAAUGCAUUAAACAUGACUGGGCCCAAACGAACUUGGCAGCAAGUCAAGAUAAAGUACAAGAACAUCCUGCAGAACGGUCCUGACAAAUAUUAUGCAUGUACAUACUUUGUACCCAGAGGGUGCCUGCUCACAUAUUGUCAGUACUUAUGUAGCAAUUUAAAAAAAAAAACCCACAAGCAAGGCACGGGUGGUGGGUCACCACUAGCUGACCUAACCCCAGCUGAGGACAGAGCCUUAGAAUCAAAUAUGUGUCCCUCCCAAGAAGAUGCCUCCCUCUUCAUCAAAGGUGCAUUCUUCCAUCUUUACAUGGGACAUAUAACCAUUCAUAUUGAAUCCAUCUGGACUAUCUGACUUUAGUUUACCUUGCAGUGUCUGGAAACAUCGCUUCACUGUUGGAGCCUCCAACACUGGGGUCACAAAUACCAGAAGAAGAUGAUGAUCCAGUGAGUACUCCAUCAAAGGCCUACUGUAGGCCUGCAUGUCUCAUCUAGUAGUUUCAAUAUGAAUCCCUUUUAGAUAUGACAGGGUGAAGGCACCAGUGGAGCAGCAGCAGACGACUUUGAUGAGGUGACGAACUCUCUUGAUUCAAGAAGGCUUGAGGACCCAGAUGCUGUACAGGGUGAAAGCCAGCCGUGCAACAUAGUGAGUAUUAAUGGAAGUGCAUUCUCAAAAUGUAAAAUUCCCGCUAAUUGCUGUGCUAAUUGUUAUGUAUUUUCAGAACUCACAAGCUAUCAGGCAGUUAUAUGCCACACAUCUUAGACAGCAAAUAAAGCUGGCAGAUCUGGACAUUGAAUAUAAAAAAAACAAAUUGAAGACCUCUCAUUGGAAUCUGAACUCAAAAGGAAGAAACUCAGAAAAUUGGACCUCGAAAUAAAAAAGAAAAUAGUUUUACCUUCAGUGCAGACUGUAUGCUGACUGUAACACAAUGUAUUAAUCAUUAUUCUCCUUUCCUUACCAGCUCCAAGAAGAUGACGAAUCUUAAUAAAAAGAUUAAAUGACUAGGAUUGCAGAUUGUAAUUCCAGUCUGUGACAUAAUGCCUAGUGUCAUCUCUAUGGUAGCCCCAAGUGGUCUGAUUGGUUGGAAGUCACACACCAAAGACUGGCUGUUUUAAGACAAGAAGAAAGGCACAUAAUGUACCUGAAAUGCUAUUUCCCAGAUAUCAAAACACUUCAUGGCAGAAGUUGAGCAGUUUGAAAGUCAGACAGGGGGCAUUUUAAUCAAUUAUCUAUUCUUUAAGGCAGCAGGUAUCCUGAUUGGAUAACCAUUUGUAGCUUGUGAAGGUGCAAAGGUAUUUCUCA